UUGUGAAUAUGAAAAUAAAUAAAUAUAAUUUAGAAAUAAUAAUUAUAUUAAAAAAAUAUUUGGACCAUUAGUUACACUUGUUUUAGAUGGACCACCUAUUUGCAGCUUCUUUAAGAUGGAUGCUUUAUAUGUCUAGACCGCAUAUUGUAGAAAUGCGGUCCAACCCACAUGAAACAAUUUUUUUUACAAAAGUAUACAUUUAAAAUAAAAGAAAAAAGAAAAUGGUAGCCCUAUCAAAAUAACGCAUCAAAAAUUACAAUUCAAACAUUGAAAAACCUUUACAUUGAUCAUCUCAUCUUGAACAUUAUGGUUGUGAAAAAAAAUUACAAUUUCAAACCCUAAAAGUAAUGUAAAUUUUAGCAAAAGGUCAAAACCGUUCAUUUCGCCCUAAAAAUAAUUGUUCACAUAUUCGCAAAAUGUAUACUUAUUUUAGUUCCAUUUUUAAUUUUUGUGUUAGAAAUUGAUUUUAGAACCAUAGUGGAGAUUUUUUUUCCGAAAUUGCUUUUCCAAUGAGGAUUUAGAGCCAUAAAGGAGAUUUAUUUUGCCGAAAUAGUUAGAUAGGGUUGCACCUUGUUAAGAAAAAGUAAAGCCUCACUUCAAAAGUUAUUGAAUGAUGCAAUUUUGGUAUCAGAAAAUCUUCAAAUCGAUUAUCUAGAGGGCUUGAUUACUAUGGUCGUGAAAAAAAUUAGAAUUUCAAGCCUUAAAAAUAUAUUGUAACAUAUUAUCUAUACCGUCCUUUUCACCCUAAAAAUAAGUAUCCCCGAAUCCACAAGAUUUAUACCAUAUUUUGAACUUCUAAUUUUAUAGUCAGUGUCAAUUUUUUAUUUUAGAACUGUUAUAAAGAUUUUCGAUGCCCAA
rnacentral:lncRNA from 1 species